ensembl:lncRNA
AAACAGCCAGGCAGUCAUCUGGCAGGAGGAAGAAGCGGCCAGGCUCUGCGUCCCAAGGGUCAUCAGGAAGUCAUGCUGGCUGGCUGGCUGGCUGGCCAUCCCCUGGGGGUGGGGGUGAGAGCAGGAGGAGUGAAGAUGCUGGUUUUUCUCUGCUCGCCCUGCCCCCUUGGCUAGGACGGACUCCUCCGCUUGGCAUCAGGACCCGGGGGAGUGUCCCUUGGAAGCCAUUUAUGACCCCAGAUGCCUGAGAGGUCCUGCUUCAUUUGGGGUGUCACCAGGGUUGUCCCCUCCCACUGAACGUCUCGUGGCUGUGAUGCCUGUCAUCAUGGAAGGACGAUGGUGACGGUGGUGACAGAUGACAGGUAUGAGCCUUCUCCAUGGGGCCUCACGGCCUUAAUGUAUCUAACAGCGGGAUGCAGAAGGUGUUAUUACUCGCCCCCUUUCCAGAUGAAGAGACUGAGGUCUGGAGAGGCCCCGUGUAUCGGUCAGUGCAGGCUGCCCUCACAAAGCAUCAUCCACCGGGAUGAGUACACAACAGAAGGCAGAGCCUCAUAAUUCUGGAGUCCGGAGGUCAGGGAUGAGGGUUGUUGACAUGGUCGGGUCCUGGUGAGCCCCCUCUUCCCGGCUUGCAGAUACGUGGCUUCUGGGGUGUUAUCACAAGAUAUAAAGAGAAAGGGGAAGGGAGGAGAAAGAAGGAGAAUUCUUUCUCCCUCUUCUUCUAAGGCCACCGAUCCUUUCUCCUUGUGGGUUAGAACCCCACCCUCAUGACCUCAGUGAACCUCAAUUACUUCCUAAAAGCUCCAUCUCCAAGUACAAUCACGUUAGAGGUUCGAGCUUUAAUUUAUGAGUCAGGGGUGUGGGGCAGACACACUUCAGUCUUUCCCCUCAAGUCUCUGGUGCCUGGGCAGGCCACGUAAGUGCUAGAGUCCCGCCUGGUUCUGCAUCUACUCUGCACUCAAGCUUUCUGAGAAGUUGCCACCCUGGGGCCUUCUGUUCAGAUGCAAAACCCCAGUUCAGCUCUUCCAAAAAGGAGAUCCACGGAGCAUGCCCAGACACUUAGCGGAUUGGUCACCAAGAGCCAGCUGCGCAGCCAGUCCAUACCCAGGGGCCUCCGUUCCAAGGCCUUCAUCCAAACCUGCCCAUCCUGGGUUGGGGUCUCUAGCUUGUGUGCUGAGCCAGGGAGCAGGGCAGAACCCGUUAUCGUGGAGACCACUCCAGCGGGCUCGCUCGCUGUGUGCAGACCUCAGGUCCAAGGCUUUUGAAAGGAGCCGGUCUCUGCAACAAUCCUGACCAUUUAGACAGACGAGGAAGCAGAGUCUCAGAACAGAUUGAGGCAUCCUGCCUUGUGAGUGCAGGGCCAAGACCCGAACCAGGGGUCUGACUCCUGGGCUCACCCAGUGGUCCAUCACGGUCCCAUAGUUUGGGGAUAUACUUUGUGCAGCCUGGAAUUUUUUUUUUCCCUGCUGGCUGCUUCUCAGUGGUGCUCCCAGAAAGGGCAGAUUUCCUUGACGUGACUUCUAAAUAGCUAAGUUGUUGGCCGCGGUCCUCCUUUCCUGUUCCAAUUUAGCGAAUGCUGCCUAGGGAAUGGGAAUGCCGCCCUGCUUUCUGGAAGCCUCCAUGUGUCUCUUAGACACUCACACAGGAAAGCACGUGGACACACAGUAGCCACCAGGAGGUCUUUGGGAGAAGUGUUCUAAUGAAUAGAGAGCAAGGCUCGUUCAUUAGCAUGACAAGAGUCUGCAAGGAAAUAGGUGCUCCAGAGAGCACUCCAAAGUGGCCUGUUCUUUCAAGUAGGCUGAAAGGCCCCAGCUCUGCGGAGGCCUCUUCACGUCCCCUGGAGGAGCCCGCUCUAGGCUGGCCUGUGGGAUUUUUCAAACCCAGCUGCUUUCCCCCUGUGUCCUGGGUGCCUUUUGCACAUCCCAGCAGUGGGCUUUGGUCUGGGAGACGUGGCCAGAGAGGCCCUCAUGCGAGAAUGGGCCUGACCCUGGUCUUCCGUCCUGCAGCAAUUAUCCUACUGGGCUCCGCCGCCUUGCCCCCUCGGGGGCUCCCUUUGCUGGGGCAGGCUGAUCAGCUUAAAGGGGCGCUGUCCCUGCGGGGCCUCUUGGCCUCUCUGUCCCCCCAGGUGGCCUCCGUGCAGACUGAUGCCGGAUUUGUACUCACUUAGCCUGGGAGAAGGAGUUGAGGCUAAGAGGGGACUGAUGGCCAGAGAUCAAAGGUUAAGAGGGGUUAAGCCUUCACCCCAGAAGGUCACCCAUCAGCCCUGAGACAAGUAUCUCACAGGUAUUUUCCUGAAACCUAGAGCAGAGGUAGGCCUGCAAGGAAUGUCCAUUCAUUUACUAAGGCAACACUAUAUUCCUGGCGCCAAUGCGCCAUAUCUCAGUUUCUCGUUAUUAACUGUCUGACUUUGAUUUUGGACAAGGCACUGCCUCUCUGGGCCGCCCCUUCCCCAUCUCUUCCAUGAGGGGCUUGGACUUAACUGACUGACAGUCAAUGGCAGAUGGUUCAUUGUCUUGAGCCAUUUGAUUCCUUCAAUGUUCUUUUGGCUCUUGGGCAGUGAGAGGAAGUUAGACUAGCCAAGGUGGAUAGCAGGCAUGAUGGUUGGCCCUGGCCAGCGUUCUUGCAGAGGUUAUAACGUGUUUUCCCAAGGAGCGUGAUGAUCAGGGGAGACCCUGCUGGUCUAGGAUGGAGGGAUGAGCAGCGGGAUGGGCCUCACGCUGAGCCUCCGCCUCUCCCACCUGCCUGUCUGGGUGGCUCUGAUUCAGAAGGGCUGCAGUCCGUCGGGUCCCUCUCAUGCGAUGACCUCAAAGUGGUGCGGGGGCUGGUUGGUCCUGAGAACAUGGAGAAGUCCCUCCAGUCGAGGUGGGAGCUUAUUCUUCCACCUGCUUGCCUCUGACCAGUUAGGCGCAGUGCCAGGGCAUCUGUCAGAAGCGGGGAUCCUUGCCAGCUGUGCGAGCUCAGCGGUCGUGUGGGUGGCUGGGGCCUUGCAUCACGGGAACAAGCAAGGCAGAGAAGGAAAGGGAGAGGUGACAAAGGACAUGGCCGGUCCUUCCCCUCCAAGGAGGGCUUUCUGUUCCCCCUCCAAGGAGGGCUCACACCUCCUCUCCAGGGUGCUUGGCUCCGGGCCACAGGCUCAGUGUGUCAGAGGGACGCGGCUGGCCCGAGAUGGACACCAGAUGUGGACACAGGGAUGAGCAGGGGCCUGGUGGCGCUUCAUAGCAUGGCUCCGGAGGACGGAGGACUGAGGAUCAAUCCGGAGCUCUGUCGCUGGCUGUGCAGCUUGGGCAGGUCACUCAGCCUUUCUGUGCUGCUGUGUGGGCUCUCCACCUCCCCUGGGGUGACAGGGGCGUGUCAGCGAGAGUCCUUUUCCAGCCCAGGGUGGAGGGAGAGGAUGCAUGUCCCCGUGGUGAAUGUUAAUUGCUGGCAUUGUGGGGUGGCUAUUCCAAUGCAGGUGACAACAGUUAAUAUUUUUUACAGCAUUCGCCCCUAUCAACAGCCCCACAGAGGCGGCUACUACUAUCUCCAUUUCAUAAAUGAGCCACUGAUGUCUGGCUUGUAUCUUUCUGUCCAUCUGUCUCCCCACCUAUCUAUAUCUGUCUGUCUAUCCAUCCAUCCAUUCAUCUGUCUAAUUUAUUUUGGCCACAACCCAAGGCUUGGAAGUUCCUGGACCAGGGAUCAAAUCCAAGCCACAGCUGCAACCUACACUCCCGCUGGAGCAAUGCCAGAUCCUUGACCCACUGGGCUGGGCCAGGGAUGGAGCCUGUACCAUCAUAGAGACAAUGGUGGAUCCAUAACCCAUUGCACCGCAGCCCGAACUCCCAGAGCCUGAGCUUUUAAACGAAAGGUCCUGUAAGAUGGGCCUCCCCUGCCGUCUCAAUCAUGGUCAUUUCAGAAAGUGACCUGGAUGGGGGAGACAAGGGGGAAGCUAGGAUCCUCGUGUCUCCCUGGUCCUGUGUGGAGGGGUAGAGAAAGGGGAGCCCACCCCACCUUCCCCCAGAGGAGGGGGCUUGAGGACUCCCAGAUCCCCUGGGCUCCGGCGGGAGGCUGGCAAGGGGUGUGACUGCUCCGUGCUCCGGGCUCCCCUGGCCUUGGGCCCUGGGCGUGAUGCUCCGCAGGAGUCGGAAGACUGGACCCCAUCCUCAUCAUGUUCUUCUUCGAAGAAGGGGUGGGCGAGGAAAGCCUGCAUCCCAGGAGAGGAAAGACGAGAUGUGAAAAUGGGUUUUACAAGCAGAAGGAGAUGUUAGUCUGACGGCUUGGCUCCCAGCUGUGUUCUGGCCACAACACAAAUCAUUCUGGCCAGAAGACAGCCAGGAAGCAAGCACCUAACAAGGCCCAGCUUUCAAACAGAGAGAGCAGAGCCAGUGGCUGGACCAAGCAGCAUCCCUGACGGAGGCUUUUGAGACAGCGUGGGUGGGGGUGGGUCCUGUUCCCUCUCCCAGUGGUGCUGUUCCCGCUCCCAGUGGAGCUCAUUAACCACCUCCCCAGCAGUGAUGGAUGUGGCAAUCAGGGACAGAUGGCAGUCCCCAGAGAGGCAAAUGGGAAGAGGGGAGAAACGUCUGCCUGGUGGAAGGGACGGAGGUCAUGCUGGGAGCAAAGCUCAUCAAGAAGGAUGCUUCCCUCCAUGGCAUUUCUGUCACUGGAGGCCUUGCCAGAAAGGACAAAUGGUUGAGUGCAAGGGCCGGGGACGGCAGAACGGUCCUUCCCUGGGUGACCUCACACUAUCCCAACUGUGAUAUGAAGCUCAUGUCACUGUCCGCCCCCAGCAUCCUCAGGGACGCCUCCAGGGGUAUCUCGCAGGCCAGUCCAGGGCUUUCAUGUCUACUUGUCCCCCCACUCACUGUCCACAGAACUUUUCAGAAAUCUGCUACUAGUGUUAUGGGGAUACUGAGGCCCAGAAAGGUGAAGAGAUUUUUCUUACUACUAUUCUUGACCAUGGGAUGGGAAUAUGUGACCCUAAAUCAGGAAGAAGUGGAGUUCCUGUUGUGGCUCAGCAGUUCCAAACCCCACUAGUAUCCAUGAGGAUGCAGGUUCGAUCCCUGGCCUGGCUCAGUGGGUUAAGGAUCUGGUGUUGCCAUGAGCUGUGGUGUAGGCCGGCAGCUGCAGCUCCAGUCUGAUCACCCAGCCUGGGGAACUUCCCUGUGCAGCAAGUGCGGCCCUAAAAAAAUAAAUAAAUAAAUUAGGAGGAAGUAAAUCAGGUGAGGUGAUAUGUUUAGGGAGGAGCGGUUCUCUUUUCGCCUAGGGAUAUUUGAUAACACAGCAAGGAGACUGGAUGACACUUGACUUAGGUGAUGAUGAUUCGUACGGUGGUCUUGGAUCUACAAG